rnacentral:rRNA from 1 species
GGACGAACGCUGGCGGCGUGCCUAACACAUGCAAGUCGAGCGGGGACAUUGCGACGGAGACGAAGUACUCGUACGGAGUCAAAGAUGUAAUGUUCUAGCGGCGGACGGGUGAGUAACGCGUGAGCAACCUGUCCCUUACAGGGGGAUAACACAGCGAAAGUUGUACUAAUACCGCAUAAGACCACAGGAUGACAUCGUCCAGGGGUCAAAGGAGCAAUCCGGUAAGGGGUGGGCUCGCGUCCGAUUAGAUAGUUGGUGAGGUAACGGCCCACCAAGUCGACGAUCGGUAGCCGACCUGAGAGGGUGAUCGGCCACAUUGGGACUGAGACACGGCCCAAACUCCUACGGGAGGCAGCAGUGGGGAAUAUUGGGCAAUGGGGGAAACCCUGACCCAGCAACGCCGCGUGAGGGAAGAAGGUUUUCGGAUCGUAAACCUCUGUCCCAGGUGAAGAGGAAGAGACGGUAGCCUGGGAGGAAGCCCCGGCUAACUACGUGCCAGCAGCUGC